rnacentral:rRNA from 1 species
GACGAACGCUGGCGGCGUGCUUAACACAUGCAAGUCGAACGGAAAGGCCCUGCUUUUGUGGGGUGCUCGAGUGGCGAACGGGUGAGUAACACGUGAGUAACCUGCCCUUGACUUUGGGAUAACUUCAGGAAACUGGGGCUAAUACCGGAUAGGAGCUCCUGCUGCAUGGUGUGGGUUGGAAAGUUUCGGCGGUUGGGGAUGGACUCGCGGCUUAUCAGCUUGUUGGUGGGGUAGUGGCUUACCAAGGCUUUGACGGGUAGCCGGCCUGAGAGGGUGACCGGCCACAUUGGGACUGAGAUACGGCCCAGACUCCUACGGGAGGCAGCAGUGGGGAAUAUUGCACAAUGGGCGGAAGCCUGAUGCAGCAACGCCGCGUGCGGGAUGAAGGCCUUCGGGUUGUAAACCGCUUUCGAAUGUGACGAAGCGUGAGUGACGGUAAUGGGUAAAGAAGCACCGGCUAACUACGUG